UACAGAGGGUGCGAGCGUUGUCCGGAAUCACUGGGCGUAAAGGGUGCGUAGGUGGCGCUGUAAGUCGGGUGUGAAAUCCUGAGGCUUAACCUCGGAACUGCAUUCGAUACUGCGGCGCUUGAGGACUGGAGAGGAGACUGGAAUUCAUGGUGUAGCAGUGAAAUGCGUAGAGAUCAUGAGGAAGACCAGUGGCGAAGGCGGGUCUCUGGACAGUUCCUGACACUGAGGCACGAAGGCCAGGGGAGCAAACGGG
rnacentral:rRNA from 1 species